rnacentral:rRNA from 1 species
UACAGAGGUCUCAAGCGUUGUUCGGAUUUAUUGGGCGUAAAGGGUGCGCAGGCUGUAUGGUAAGUUUGGUGUGAAAUCCUGGAGCUUAACUCCAGAAUUGCACUGAAUACUGCCGUGCUAGAGGACUGGAGAGGAGAUUGGAAUUCACGGUGUAGCAGUGAAAUGCGUAGAUAUCGUGAGGAAGACCAGUGGCGAAGGCGAAGCUCUGGACAGUUCCUGACGCUCAGGCACGAAGGCCAGGGGAGCAAACGGG